ensembl:lncRNA ERVK13-1 endogenous retrovirus group K13 member 1
GAGUAGCUGGGAUUACAGGCGUGUGCCACCAUGCCCGGCUAAUUUUUGUGUUUUUAGUAGAGACCGGGGAAGGUAUGGGCCCUCUUUUGAGAAAAAUGCAGAGUGACACUGAAUUUUGUAACUACAUCAGGAGGCUCUUGAACCUUCUGCAGCUCACUCGUGGAGUUUGUAGAGAUGCGUAAUAAUCCGAAGUGUUAAGGAAGAAGGUUCUGUUGAGAAAAAGUUGGAGGGCUGAAAGGGAUGCCUUUCGCUAUUUCGACAUGUGUGGCUGUACCCCAGAGUGCCCUGGCUAACACGCAAAACCAUGAAUUAGGCGGCUUGGCGAGGCUCAGUGGAGGCUGGGGCCGAGAGUCAUGUCAAAGUUUGUGGGGUUAACCUGCACCCAGUGACAGUCAUGGCGAAGUUUGUGAGGUUAACUCGCACCCAGUAACGCUGUUCCAAUGCAAGGUGUGUAUUUGGUGUCAUCCACGGGAAGAGGAAACAGCAAAUUUUCUCAUGGCCUUGGCAGUUCCACAUGAUGGACAUUUCAUAUCUGCAGUUUUCUUCGCAUGAGAUGGCUUUUUUGCACAAAAACACUGGAAUCCAGUGAGCAAGAAUGAUAGAAUGCAAGAUGGAUUUCCACAUGAGGAAGUGUCACGAACAAGCGUUUUGCAUCUCUGUCAGCUGGAUUCCCCCAUGUGUACGUAUGUGAGAACAUGCCGUGUUUCCUGUCUGUAAUGGUAGAGGCAGCCCUGAUACUGGAUUUUCACCUGAGGAUGGAUAGAUCUUCAGGGUUCAAGUGGGUUUGCAUCUGGACUUUAGGGUGGCCCUGUAGGCCCUGUGUGAGAAGCCCCCUUCCCAGUGAACUUUCCCUUGUGUGCCCGCGUGGACAGCCAACAGGGGGAGCAGUGCGAGCGUGAAGGCAGACAGUGGCCUGGCCCAGUCUGAUGAUGGCUGAACUCUGUGACCCCGGGGCCUGUUUCAGCCUCCUGCUGUCAGAAAGCAGCUGUUUGGGAAGAGGCUGUGAUUCGGCCUUGUUUGAGGGCCGAUACUCUGAAUGGGUGAGGCUUGGAAUCCUCCCUUUGGAACAAAGAAACAUAAUGAUUUUGCUGAAGGGAGAGACCCACCGACCCUGUGGGGCUGGUCCCUACAUCUGGCGCUCUGACGUGGGGCUCUCCCUCGCUGUGUGAAGUUGCACCCUGAGUGCGGGAUCAGCGGAGGAGUUCAACGAGAGAUUCCUGAGGAUUGCAGUCUAUAAACUUGGUGGAAAAGAACUACAGCCUGUGUGGGUCCCCUCCCGACAAUUAAAAUUGCACCAUAACUCCAAAGAUGAAACGCUCCCAGAAAGAAAAGGCAAAGACCCAUCGGAAACAAAAGAGCAACUUUCACCGCCUGAUACAUACACUUCAUGACAUCCACAUUGAGACAAAAUCUCGCCGUGUGACCUACAACACCUCUCGUUCAACCCCACCUACUUGGGGUCGAAUACAGAUUUUAUCUCAUCAAACAGAAAAAUUCUUAACAGAAAAAGGAAUCCCAAAAA